rnacentral:rRNA from 1 species
AGUCGAGCGAUGAAACUACUUCGGUAGUGAAUUAGCGGCGAACGGGUGAGGAACACGUGAGGAAUCUGCCUUCUACACUGGGAUAACUCCGGGAAACCGGGGCUAAUACCGGAUAUGAAACUUGGUGGCAUCACCGAGUUUGGAAAGUUUUUCGGUAGAAGAUGACCUCGCGGCCUAUCAGCUUGUUGGUGAGGUAAUGGCUCACCAAGGCGACGACGGGUAGCCGGCCUGAGAGGGCGACCGGCCACACUGGGACUGAGACACGGCCCAGACUCCUACGGGAGGCAGCAGUGGGGAAUAUUGGGCAAUGGAGGAAACUCUGACCCAGCGACGCCGCGUGCGGGAUGAAGGCCUUCGGGUUGUAAACCGCUUUCAGUAGGGAAGAAGCGAAAGUGACGGUACCUACAGAAGAAGCACCGGCUAACUAUGUGCCAGCAGCCGCGGUAAUACAUAGGGUGCAAGCGUUGUCCGGAAUUAUUGGGCGUAAAGAGCUCGUAGGUGGUUCGUUACGUCGGAUGUGAAAAUCUGGGGCUCAACCCCAGACCUGCAUCCGAUACGGUCGAGCUAGAGUUUGGUAGGGGAGACUGGAAUUCCUGGUGUAGCGGUGGAAUGCGCAGAUAUCAGGAGGAACACCAAUGGCGAAGGCAGGUCUCUGGGCCAAUACUGACACUGAGGAGCGAAAGUCUGGGGAGCGAACAGGAUUAGAUACCCUGGUAGUCCAGACCGUAAACGGUGGGCACUAGUUGUGGGAACCUUCCACGGUUUCUGCGACGCAGCUAACGCAUUAAGUGCCCCGCCUGGGGAGUACGAUCGCAAGAUUAAAACUCAAAGGAAUUGACGGGGGCCCCGCACAAGCAGCGGAGCAUGCGGCUUAAUUCGACGCAACGCG